UCCCUGGUAGCUCAGCUGGUAAAGAAUCUGCCUGCAAUGCAGGAGACCCCGGUUCGAUUCUUGGAUUGGGAA
rnacentral:tRNA from 1 species